rnacentral:lncRNA from 1 species
GAUGUUCAGGGAGAGUUGGAAGACCUAGCAGAUGAGGUGGACAGGGUGGAUGCUGGCCCCACGGUCCUACCUGCUGGUGUUCACGGCCUUAUGCAGUCCUCUCGCCUUCAGUGCAAGCAGCACCUGUGACUUGCCUUUAACGUUGCAAGAGAAUACAGCAAAGUGACGGGAUGUCACUCUUGUGAUUUCAUAAGAUUGUGACAUCUGUCUUGCUGAGAGACUCUCUUGCUGGCCUUGAUGGAGUAAGUGGCCACACUGGGGAGGCCCACAAAGCAAGGAGCUGACAGCAGCCUCUGUCCAAUGCAUGACAUGAUGGUGACCUCUGGCCAAUAGCCAGCAAGAAAGUGAGGCUUUCCAUUUAAGAAGCCACAAGCAACUGAAUGCUGCGACCAUCCAUGGGAGCUGGGAAGCAGAUCCUUCCUCGGUUGAGCCUCAGAGAAGCCUGCAGCUCUGAUCUUGGCUAUAGCUUUUAGAUGAGACCCUGAAGCAGAGGGCCCAGCUAAGCCACACCCAGACUCCUGACCCACAGAAACUGUGAGAUAACAAAUGCGUGUUGUUUUAAGCUGCUGUUUUAAGCUGUUGUUUUAAGUUUGUGAUGACUUCGGUUUACAGGAAUAACCAGCAUGCGAUGCCGAGAAGGAGAUUCCUGCCUUGGAAGAGACGGGGCUUUGCUAUGUUGCCCAGGCUUGUCUCAAACUACCGAUCUCAAGUGAUCCUCCUGCCUCGGCCUCCCAAAGUGCUGGGAUUACAGGCAUGAGCCACCAUGCCCAGCUGCCCUGACUGUUAUGACCAGGAGAGGACAUCUGCUGGAGACCGGCCGAGGUGAAGUCUUUGACCAUGGCCAAAAGUGAAAGCCACAGCCCACUCUUGGUCUCUCCCCCUGGGCUGGCCACCUGCAGGGACCGUGUGGCACUGGGCUCCCUCUGUGCAUGAAGGGCUGUGCUCCUUGGUCCCUGGAGGGAGUGGCGGCCGUGUGGUGUGCCUUGGCGAUGAAAUGUGAAUACAGCAAUGCUGGCCACAUCCUCUAGGGAGCAUUGAAUGCUUGCGUGACACUCACCAAGGUCGUGGAGGCCCAGUCAUGCCCCAGAGGUCACCCAGAGCCUGGUGCCCCUUACAGGAGCCAGAAAUAAACCUGUGCUGUUUUCCAUCCUUUGACUUUCAGCAUUUCUGUGAUAUCAUAAGGAGCAUAUAGUUUGAUUAAAAAAAAUCGAGUCUGAAAAUCUUCAUCUUUGAAUUGGAGUAUUCAGUCCAAUUUUCGCCAUAUUAGUCCAACCUUUAACACUUGUUAUAUAUUGUUUA